AUACUACUGAAUGUGACAUAAUAGUAACAGUAAACUGCACAACAAAUCAAAACAUGUCCCAGAUAUCGGCAUCAAUAACAAAUGACAUUUUGGUAUCUAAUGCGAGCGCGGCGUCACGCGUCGCCCGCGCGUCACACGCAGAUGAAACAAUUGAGUGACGCGCGAUGACGUCUGCACGCCGCACCGCGCGCUGUAGGGUGACAAAGCCACCGAUUUUAACCGGAAUCCAAGCGGCAUACAAUAGUUCACAAAAAGUUGCCCUCACCUUGCCCCCGCACCCCGCACCUACAAUAAAUUACUCUCCCAAUGAUUUUUAGUCCGUGCGACACAUUCGCAUGAUUUAUAACGCGCGCGAACAAUGCUAACCGGUUACGGUAUAAAUCCGUGAGCAUUGGGGGUGGUACUGAAAAGCUUGUUGUUUCCAAUGUACGAAUUGUAAUUAUUGUUCAACAUAUGGCCAGUGUUACUGUUCAACUUAUUGUCACGGCUCCGUGUGUACAUAAUGACCACGUUUCAAAUAACAUUUAAAAAGACACCAUUGUAUUUAGGUGUCACAAACAUCUGGUUAAAGAAAAAGCUUUUAGACAAAAGGCGAAUAAGAAUAGUACUAUUGCACGUGUAAACUAAGUAGGUAGAUAGUUACGAAUGUUGCGUUUGGUUUCAUAAUCACCGAGCUUAUUCUAUCACUCGGCCUAAGUAGGAAGUUCGUGGGUGUGUUCGUCUUAUCUACAACUAACAAGUACAUUAACUCAAAAAGUUGUAUCUCGAGUCGCUCGAUAAAAAAUCUUAAUAUCGUGUACACAAAUAAAUCACAGGGAAUGGUAAUUUACGUUUUCUCAAUCAUAAACAUUCUGAUAUACGAGUCUUUAGCAUAUCUUCGAAAACAGAAACAUUGAUAAUUUACGUCACCGUUAUUCGAACGGUAUAAAAACAAGCACGAUUGAAAACAAGAACAUUUUUUCCUCAACAGAUAAGAAAUCAUCAUUACCGUCAAAUGGCAGGGGAUUCCGAAAUCCAUUCUCAUCAUUACUCUCGCGACAUUGACUGCUCAGCACGCAUCGCCAAUAAAAACACGUCGGGACCUCCUGCCAGCAUGUUUAUUUUGUCACACCGCUCCCUGCAGCCGUGCAGCGUGCACCCCUUGCCAAGCGUGGAGCGUGUGUUUCGCCUGGGGUUGUGUGACCCUCGCGUUAUUCGCAGGAAAUCGCCUAAGACGGACCAGUUUUAGGUGACAUCACCAUACGAGCGCGGGCGGCCAACUAGCAAGUAACUGACACCGGAACCUACAACGCGUCGCAUGUCUACUGGCAGUGGGCGGCCGGAAGUACCGUGCGCGGCCAGGUCCCGUAGACCACUUCCGGCGCUUUGACAAACAACCCCCAAGGUCGGUGAUGGAGGGUUAAAAGGCACACGACAAUGGACCCUUCGUGUGAGGACAUUUUCAGAACCUGCUGCUAUUGUGACAACAUGCUCGUAAUAAAAAUACCAACCAGAUUUG